ensembl:lncRNA
GGAAGCACUUAGAACAUCCUCCCCCCCUCCCCCGCCCCAUGUCUGCAUGAUCCCAUUUCUGAGCUCCCUCGUGGCUCCAGCCACCUCUCCCAGGGCACUUCCCGUAGCUGCCCUGUCACCUGGUCCCCCCAGGCCCUCCUCCUCACACUUGCAAUCAGAUCAGUUUACUUUCAUCUGUCCUUUUUGAUUCAUUCAUUUUCAAAAAAAGAUGAUUUAUUUCUUUGAACUUUGCCUCCUUGACUGGUGAACAGUAAUGAGAGAGGCGAGGAUAAAAGAAGGCAAACCACAGGAAGGGUGGCUGCCUCCUUGGGGAGAAUGUUUCCCAGGGAUGAAGAACCACGUGAGUGAAAGGCAUGGAUGGCUUUUGCUGGACUCACCCCAGCCAUCCCCUUUGGUGGUAAGGGAUGUGCCCAGAAGUGAAAGAGUCAGAUGCAACUCAACCCUGACCUCCUAAACUUCCAACAAAUUUUCAGGGAACCCUCUCAAACAGCCGCUCACAGGUGACAGGCUGCUGUUUCCAUACAGAUGGACCAUGGAGGCUAUAAGACAUUGCCUCGGAAUGCUCAGAGAGACUGGAGAGGCAAGGACUGAAGGAAGCCCCAUGGGGGACACAGCUAAGUGAACAAAAUUUGAUCCUGAAAGUCUGACCAUUUCAAUUGUGUCCAAGGCUAAAGAACAUGGGGAGCUUUCACACAUACCCCAGUUGUAGCUCUGUAAUGAUUUAACACUGAUCGACCAAAGGGGACCAAGUUUACCAAGAAAUGAUCCCAGGGAAAAAACAGAGCAGCCAGCAAAGCUCAUCCUGGCCUGGCUGGUCCCACAAGCUUCCCCACCAUUCUGCCAGGAAAACCCUGUCAUUCUAGCCCCUGGAUCUGAAACAGUUGUUUGACCUGGAAACAGGUCAACAAAAUCUAUGGUUCAGCUUUCUUGCCCUCAUGUCUCAGUGUAUUCUCUAGCUCCAAGCCCCUUUGACUCCACCCUUCCAAAAUCACACUUCUCUACUUCAAUCACCUGUCCUUUGAACCAACCAGCCGGUAGGCUGAGAAGGUCUCUACUUCCCUGUCCAGAGAAGGGGGUGUCGGAGUUGGGCUGCGGAUGGACACCUUGCCCAGCUCUGUCAUCCUAGGGGCUCAAAGACAUCAGACAUGGGAGCCUGGCGAAGCUCCCCUUCCACAGGAGAUUUCGUUGUACGUCAGUAGUUUCCCUGGCUGAGGGAGAGGCUGAGAGAAGAGAACCAUGGAAGGAAAAGAACACGCCACAAGUCACUGAACUCAACAGAGCUUUGAAGCAAAGAUGCAGAGAUUUGAUAAAAAUCCAGAAAUCUACAUGUUGGGCUGUGCUUACGAAGUCUGCCUGUAUGUAGACUUAAGCAAACAGAUUUCCCCAUCUCCCUGACAACCAGGAUACAAGCACAUUUUACCUGCAUUAUCUACUCUCUUUUCUGAAGCCAGGGCAUAAUUAGUGGAGAAAAAAAAACCAACACAAAAAACAUAGGUACUGGGUGAGAGUUCACAUCUCUUAGAUGGUGUUUAUCUCUCAUCCCUCUGGCCGGGAGUUCACCUACACAAACUCAUCAACAUCUCACCUGGUGGAUUGAUCAGCCAUGCCUUCUGCUUUCUGGUGGAAAGCUAAUAUACCUUUGCCUCUCCCUGUCAGUCAAUAUUAUUUAAGGGACGGAUAAGAAAAUUUACUGGGAAGGUUGUUCUAGAAAGUUCUAUGUAUAGACACUCACCUAGCUAUAAAUAGCCUCCUUUGUGUGGGAGGGGUCGGGUCAUGUUGUCAACAUCCUACAUGAGGAGGAGAGGAUGUCCUCAUCAUGAGGGACCACAUGGGCAUGUUCACUCUCUUGGCAUGCAAGACACGCCACGUAAGCCAGUUCCAGGGUGCUUGAUGUGAACCGAACCCAGGGAUUUGCUAAGUAAGCUAGACCCAUCUCAAGGAAAUGGGUGGCAACAGCCUGUAAGUGCUUCAGAAUUCCAGAGGCACAUUCUCACGAGAGAGGCAGCAACCAAGAUAGAAAGUCUGCCCAAGGACGAUGGAAUCUCAGUCCUCAAAUCCAUUCCCCACAACUGUCCUUACCACCACAGUCCCAAGACCAGUGGGGAAGAGGGUCAGAAUGGUAAGACAGUGUCCUGACUUCCUCUCAGUUGGACAUAAAGGGCCCACAAAGUUGCAUUUAGAGCAAGUCAUCACCUUGAGUACAGCACAAGCUCAUAUACCUGGGCUUCAUCCACCCAGCUGGAAUCUUCUCUAGGUGGAGGAGGCAGGGAAUGGAACCUAGAGGGCAGAGAGGAAAGGAAUAAAUGUGAGUGGAGGGGCCCAGUAUUCCAAACAAGUGUCUGGCAAACAGGGCAGACAGGUGGUUCGGUGGUAAAUUAUCUGCCUGCUAAUGCAGGAGACACAGGUUCGAUCCCUGGGUCAAGAAGAUCCCCUGCAGGAGGAAAUGGCAGCCCAUUCCAGUACUCUUGCCUGGAAAACCCUGUGAACAGAGGAGCCUGGCUGGUGGCAAAGGAGUUGGACAUGACUGAGUGACUAAAACAACAACAGCAACAGAUCUGGCAAACAUAAUGAGAGAAUGAACGUGGAUUGCUUCCCCCCUCCGCUCCCCAGACCAGGCCAUUUCAGGUUCACCCUCUGGGAACCACGAAGCAUCGCUGGGGGGAAAGGAGAAGCAUGAAGUAACGAGAUGGAAUGAAACCAAGGAGGAGAUCUACCAAUUAUCAGACGUAACAUGGUGAUGGGAAGGUCACUCAGUGUGGGAAAAAAAUAGGGCCCAUUAGGGACAAGUUGGAACUAGAUCCAUCUCAGAACCAAAGGCCUUCUCAGAAGGUGUUCUGGGGGCUUAUACUGAGAAGCAGGACGGGGUGAUGGAGGGGCUGGCCAUGUGGCCUGCCUCCAGCCCUACUGGGCAGCUUCAAGUGCGGUGCAGGUAGAUUCAUUCACUGAUGGAUGUAUUUCUUGGGAAGGUUAGCAGAUUUAUAGCAACUGAUUACACAAUCAUAGCUGGUCUGGGCAGAUUUCAGUGUAGUUACCAGAAUCCUAUACUCCUACUUCACAUAGCAAACAUUUUCCACCUUCUUAAUGAGAAGUGCUAAUGUUUAUUGAAAAUCAAGUGUUUUUCUGAACUCUUCAUAUCUAUUACCUGAAUCUGCACAAAAGCCCUACAGAGUGUGUGACACAGUUGCCCUUUCCAUUUUACAGAAAAGGAAACUGAGGCAUGAUGAGCUUAAGUAACUUUCCCAAAGACUUUCAAUGUAUGCAAGAGCCAGGAUUUGAACAUAAGUAGCUUUACUCCAAAUGACCUGUUGGCUUCCUGCAUCAUUUUGGCACAAAGCACUACACAAGGCAUCUUGAGGCAUAGUUCUUUCUUAAAGGACUUUACAGUCUUGGGGAGAGAGACAAGGACACUGCCUUCUGACUUAAGCAAAGUUUGUCAUUCGGAAAGCAUCAGUUUCUUUUGGGAACUACUGGUAACUUCUUCCAGCUAAAGGGAAUGUGGGGAAUUAUAAGUCCCCUCUCCCACAACCUCAAAAAUGUUGGACUGAACCCCACCAGACAAACAGGCACGUACUGACAAGCAAGUGCAAAAAAGGAGUUCUACUUACUCAGUGAGCAUUGGGCAUGAAAGGCUGGCACUGGGGCGAACACGGUGAUGUUCUUAGAGAGCACUGGAUAGUCUGGGUCAGAUCAGGAAACAGGGUCCCCCAUGCAGGGAAGGACAGAGGACCAAGGGGCUGAUGGCAGGUCUACAUCUGCCACUUUCUUAUGUCUUGUUUAUAAAAGGACAGGGGCUGAGAGGAACCUGUACAAUAUGCCUAACCGAUCACUAGUCUUGAC